ACGAGAAGUUCGCGUAAAAGAAAAUACAGAUGGAGAAGGCUAGCCGGCUCGCUGUGUCACAGAGAGUCCCCUUAAGCCUACGUGACAACUCACAUACUGUCCCUUUGUGACCAGCUUAAUCGGCAGAAUGCCCGGUCUCUGUGUGCUUUGUCUCGCCGCCGUGCUGGCUGCGUUCGCCCGGCUCGUCGGCACCGUGGGGCCGGUGGUCCGCUGCGAGCCGUGCGACGCCGGGGCGCUCCUGCAGUGCAAGCCCCUGCCGAAGGACUGCGCGGAGCGGGUGAGGGAGCCCGGCUGCGGCUGCUGCAUGACGUGCGCCCUCGUCGAGGGACAGGCGUGUGGAGUGUACACGGCGCGCUGCGGCUCCGUCUUGACCUGCCUGCCCCAGCCGGGGGAGAGCCGACCCCUGCAAGCUCUGCUGGAGGGACGGGGAGUGUGCUCCAGUGCCGCGUCCAAAAAACUCAACAGCAUUCUCAUACCGGCGCAAAAACACGAUAAUGGUGGAAAUCAGGUAGAAGACGGUUGUGCCAACGUGACCCAGACAAUGACAGUGCUGCCCAGCGUACCGACUGUGAAGGGUGGACACAGUCGGGGGUCCAUGGACACCAGGCCUCCACUGCACAACAAACUGAUCCAGAAAGAUCAGAACAAGAAGACGCAGAGCUACAAGGUGGAAUCUGUGUCAGGAGGAGCCAAUAUGGACAUGCACAACUUCUCCCUGGAGAGCAAGAGGGAGACUGAGUAUGAUGAGUGUGUAAUAUUGGUGUCGCUGGGGUGUGUUUGCCGCGUUGCUAGGGGCCAUGUCGACGGGAGAUGGAGAGCAUCCUGAACAGUCUUAAAAUCAGCAACGUGCUCAACCCGAGAGGCUUCCGCAUACCCAACUGUGACAGAAAGGGCUUCUACAAGAAAAAACAGUGCCGUCCAUCCAAAGGCAGGAGGCGGGGAUACUGCUGGUGCGUGGACAAAUACGGGCAGCCUCUGCCCGGCCUGGAUGGCAGGGAGCGGGGCGAGACGCAGUGCUACAACCUGGAGAGCAAAUGAGCGGACGGAGGGACGACGAGUGGACGGAGAGAGGAAGACAGCGAAUAAGGGGGGAGGGGGAGAGAGACAGAGAGUAAGAAAGAAAGAGAGCCUACUUUGCUCUUGCAUGUAGUUUUAUGUAAACAUUUGAAGGAGCUCUGGACCUUUGAUUUCAGGUCCCAUUUCUGUCGGAGAAGGAGGGGAGAGAGCGAGGGGGAGGGGAGGGAGAAAGGGUGGAGCGCAGCCUCGGCGACCGGCUGAGCCUCCUGUCCAUCACAGCUAUCUGUCCUGUGCUUAGGGAACUUCUAUCCUUUCUUUAAACAAAAAAAAAAUGAAGCUGAAAGCUGACAGAGAAGGGGAAGAGAGAGAGGAUCCUAUCAUCUGCACUAUUCUUUUAGAGAGAGAGGAAGGAGGGACUUUUCCACUCACUUUAAAGAGGACUUGUUUGUGACUGUGACCCCAAAAACCACACCACCACCAUCUCUAUGUGUCUGUCUGUCUGUCUGUGUGUCCAACAUAUACGUGUGCACAGCUGCAUGUCUGUGCAACACAGCGAGUGAGUGGGCGCUUUGUGUAAAUACUGUUUGUCACUAAGCUCAGUUUAGAGAUGUCAGACUGUCCAUCCCCACCCACCUCCACCCCCUGCUCCAUCAAACAAUGCAGAAAAAAAAGAAAGUCGCUCUCUGGCUCAGGGUCCAUUUUGAAGUGAAGGAUUAUGGGACGGCAGGGCUUUGACGUUUUAUCCAGCGGUGGCCCUCCUUGCUGCCUCUGGCUCGUCCCUCUCUCUACCUUUAGGAGGGGAACGGAGGCAGUUACAGUGCCUUAACAAACCAACGACCUCUCCGAGCCGCCUCUCUCCUUCACCCUCUGUGGUCCCCGACUAAACAAAUACUUUUCAGAAAAUCUACCUUCUGAGUAUCAAACGCUCGCCCCCCCCCCCCCACACACACACAGGCCUGGAAAGUGUCUCUGAAAUGUUUGUAGCUGCAGCAGCUGUGCACAGACAAACUUCUGGAACGUUCAUCGCUGUUGAUCUGUACGCUGGUAGCUUCACAAAAAACGUCGAGUAAGCUACUUCCAGCAAAGAUUCUGAGCUAUAAAGUGUGAAGAGUGUGACAUGGAGUUUUGCAACAUACUGAAGUAAUGAAUCAAAGAAGUGCAUUAACCUGCAAACUUUGCCAAAUAUUAGCCUGGUUCCAGGUUCUCUGCUGACGCCCACAUCUCUUAUUUUUUCACUGUUUCAAUUGAAGAACGAGGGAGACGUCAUCUUCCUGCGCCAGAGAAAAUCGUGUUGUAGAUGAGUCAACGAUUUACAGAAAUAACAAGUUCCUAGCAUCUGCCACCAGAGCUACUUUUCAGGAUAUAAUCCCAAGAAAAUAAUGCAAACAUAAAAUGAUAAUUCAGUCUGAUUAUUUGAAGAUGUAGAAGACAUUUGAGGUUUGUUACAGAUGUAAGCAAGUGUGGUGAAGCUAACUGUGCUAGCACCACAUGUAGGCUGCGUAUCUAACCAUAUUUUGGCAUCAGUAUGAAUAUAUGGAACAUAAAUCUUAUGUGUAGACAGUGGAGAGAUGGAUUAUGUUGCAGCAGAGCUUUGAGAAGUUUGUCACUUCUCUGUGACGCCAUCUGUUGUAACUUCAGUGAAUCCAGGCUAACUGCAGCUCCAAGCUUUUCAGAGCCACUUCUCAGUCCGACAGGAGGCGAGUAUUUAAGGCUCAGAGGGUCGGUGUUUGGUGGAGUAUUAUUUUGAGGUGCUCACAUGCAGCCCGACAGUCUUAGGAAACAGUGUGGUUAGAUUAGUCUGUCUUCUGUCUCUUUCCUGCCCCCUGCUGUUCCUGUCCACGUCCAUGUCCCUGGUCACACUUAGUCUCCAACCUGCUCUCCCGUGUCCUCGCCCCUUUGUCCGUCAUGAAGCUCCGGUGCUGAGGUCCCUGUCUGUGCCUAAUACCCACCCACUAACCUGAACUGUUUCUUCCCCACCUCCUCCUCCUCCUCCUCCUCCACCCAGCUCCAGCACCCUGCUCACCUCCGGUCCUCUUCCUGUCAGUGGUGCAACCUGGUGUAGACUUGUUAAACGGGGGGGUGGGGUCCGGUGUGACCGUCUCGCCCUGCCGCAGGUGCCAGCUGCCCUUAUGCUUCAAGCACAAGCACUUAAAGCACUUUAGCUGCGCCGCUACUCGUCAAUGCAUGCAGUUAAAGACAAUUGGACCUAUCUGCAUCUGCAUACCUUUCCCUGGAGGUAAUGUCAGAUGAAACAGUGUGAUACUGUAAGCAAACAAUAAUAACCUGAGAGGAAAAAAAAAAGAAAGAAAGAAAUGAAAAAAAAAAAAAAACGAAGCUACACCAGGACUUCUGACAGCGAACUUUAGCGAACACCCCUCAGAAAUUUUCCAUUCAAUGCAACUAUUUUCUUUUUUUUUUUGUUGUUGUUGUUUUUGUUUCUUUGAAAAAUGCUCGUAUGAUCGUAUGCCAACAAAUCUCCACAAGGUGGACACAGCACCAAAUAUGCAUUCACACAAGUGGUAGGGGGUCUGAGGGAGGAGGCGUUGGUCCUCCCCGAGGAGCUUCCUGCCCGAUGCUCUCCCACAUCCUGUGUAAAGACUUGAAAAGUGGAGAGAGUGCCGACAAAGAAUGCUUGCCCAGUAGCUUGGUAGCAUGAAAUCGGCUGUACACUUCCUUUUUAAUAGACAGCAGCAACUUACAACCAGCCUGUUGGUGCUAUAUCCCAUCUAUUCAAAGACUUGAUGUAAGGGGAGGAACAUACAUACAAAUGUUUAAGCUAUUCCCUCCCUGAUAUUUGUAAGUGUGUCUUUUUAUAUAUAUUAUUAUUAUUAUUAUUUCCUGGCCAGCUAUGUGUCUGACUAGACAUCAUGUACAGUACUUAAAAAUAAAAAUUAUUUAUCUAAGAAAGAAUUAUAAGCUGAUCCAAACUAGGUUUUCUUAUGAACAAUUCAGUGACUCACCGAUUGCACAGCAAAGUCUAUAUGAUUCAGUGUAUUUUGGGGAAUAUAAUCACUAAUGAAUGUUAUAUUUUUUAAUGAACCUUUUUGUUUUCUUCCUUCUUCUGUUGCUCAGCAGUGUCAUUUGUAAGCUCCGUGCCCAGCAGGCGAGUUUCAGCCUCUGGGGCAACAAAAAAAAAAAUAUAAAGAAAAAAAAAUAUGUGUGUCAGUCAGGCACUCAGGUCUCUGGUCAUCUUAGUUCACUGCUUCUUCUUCAGGCCAGUGAACCUCUCACCUCUCACUAAGUCACUUCUCUCCAUGCACACCCAGCCAUCCCGCCUCAGUCUGUUAGUGCAGAGCCAGGGUCACACUCCUGUAACAUCACUUUUUAUUUUUUUAUUACUUUUAUUUUUCCCUGCUGGUCACAUUAAGAAAUCUCUCUGUUCACGGGUAAAUGUGUUUUGUUUUUGUUUUUUUCAUUUCAAGUUUAUCCUUCAAAGAGUUAUUUUGAUUCAAGCUUUUCAUGAUACUAAACUAGAAAUCACACAGAGAAAUGAUUUUGAUUCAAAAUAUAAUUUGUAUUUAAUGUCUUUUUUUAAAUAAAAGUGAACACAUUUUAAA